CUUGAAUAAUGUUAGAAUCUCUUUUCUUCAAAUUCUUCAGUAAACUUUACAAGGCUUCUAAAUCUUGGAGUAUGUGAUACCAACUAAAAGUAAAAUAUGUGUUUUCUUUUUGAGAUAGGCAGAUUUUUAUAAUUUCCAUCUUAAUUUUAAUUCUUUUAACUUUUCAGGAAAAUUUGUGUAGCCAGAGAGGUUUGGUGCCCAACACAGAUAAUCAGACUUUUCAGAUUGCAGUUUCUGGCCAGAUGAGACAACACUAUGACAGAAUUCAUGAGACUUUGACAAGGGUUUGUAUAAAGUACUGUUCAGAUACAUUUUGCCAAUAGUUAAUGUUACUUCAAUACCAAGAACAUAAAACAUGUUGUAUUUAUUUAUUUCUCUUUUUUAUGUUAGAAAAAUGGCCCUGCUAGACUAUUGAGUUCAUCAGCAAGUACUUUUGAGCAGAGUAUAAAAGCAUAUCAUGCGAUGAAUAAAUUUCUUGGCUCUUUCAUUGAUCAUGUAUGUAUAUCAACAUUUAUAUUUAAGCUAGGAUCAAAUGCAAUUUUUAUAAAGCUAAGAGCAAAUGUCAGUUAUAAUUUGAGUCAACCAAAUGAGUGAAUUUUCCUCUUUUGUCUGUCAAAUUUAAUAUGUAGGAAUGAUUUUUAAAAAGAUAUUUGUAGCUACUCAAUUGCGAUUUAACAAUGUUAGGUUAUAUAAAAGAAAAGUAUGAGUUUAUGUGUUUAUUAACAAGUGAAGAGUCCUAUAAAAUAAUCUAUACUAGAAUUUUUUUAGCAGGUUACCAAAAUAUUACUAUAUUACUGAUCAUACUGAGUUAUGUUUAUGUUAUGCUAUAAUUGCAUUCCAAAAAUUCUGUAAAUUGAUUUUCAGUAUAUCUAGCCAUAAAUGCUACUUGUAGUAGUAUUUAAAACUUAAAUACAGCAUUUAAAAUUUAAAACAUUCAUAAAGAGAAUUUUGUUCUAGAAUCCAGUAUAGUACAUUCAUUUUGAAGAACAGAUUUUCUUUGUGUACUAUUCAUUUUCCCUAUUUCUUAUUUUGCAUUAAUUGGAAAUCAUUUAUUUCACUACUAUUUUUUAUAUGACUGUUUUAUGUUAGGUUCAUAAGGAAAUGGAUUACUUCAUAAAAGACAAGUUGCUUCUUGAAAGAGUUCUUGGAAUGGAAUUCAUGGAGCCAAUGGAAAAAAGCAUCUUUUACAGUGGUAUACUUCAAAUACCUUUGCUGAACUUGUUUAUUAUUUUCAAAGUUUAAGGGGAAAAGACUUGUGGUUAUUUUUCCUGUGAUUUUUAUGAUUUUAUAUGAAAACAGGGAGACAUCAUGAACUCAAUUUCAUGAAACUAUGAUAAUUUUCUGUGUUAUGUAGCAGGAAGCAGAUAGAUAAAAGAUUCUACAAGAAAGCAAAAGAGAUGAAUUUCAGAAUCAACAGUACACACUUAAGAGAAAGUAAAACAAAUACAUAAGAUUUACUUUUUAUUAGAAUGUUCAUUCAAUAGCAGACUUUUAGAAACAUUUAAAGAAAGAGUAACAUUUGUGUUUAAUCUUCAAUAUCUGAUUCUUUAUUUUGUCCAGGUUCUUCAAAAAUCACUGAUGUUUGUAAUGGGAAUAGUGAUUAAACCUGGUUUUUAAUUUAUAGAAAAAUGGUAUAUAUCUUACUUAUAAUGUGACUAAUAACCUGUUAUUAUAGAUUUGUAAGAAUGAAAAUAGUAUAACUAGCAUCCUGGUCUAGAUAUCCAUGUGUAUUUCAUGCCACAUGUUUUCCAGUCCUGGGAUAUAUAGACUCAUUAAUGAUCUGUGGAAGAUGGGCAUGUGAAUGAGUAAGUAGAGUGUUCUGGGAUAAAAGUCUGUGCAGGCACAAGUUACAUCAGGGACAGAAAAGCAAUAAAAAAAAAUUUAACCAGGUAGGGUGAAUUCAGAAAAGGCAACAUGGAGAAGUUUGAACUGGAUGCUAAAGUGUAAAUAACUGUUUGUCAAACAAGAGUGUUAUGGUCUCCCUUAACAGAGAGAGACACACAAAUACAUUCAUGCAGAAGAGAAAGGAGAUUUUUUUUUUUAAGAGAGAGAGAGAGAGAGAGAGAGAGAGAAUUUUUUAAUAUUUAUUUUUCAGUUUUUGGUGGACACAACAUCUUUAUUUUCUUUUUAUGUGGUGCUGAGGAUCGAACCCAGCGCCCCGCACAUGCCAGGCGAGCGCGCUACCACUUGAGCCACAUCCCCAGCCCAAGGAGAUUUAUUUUUAAAGUCUAUAAAAUGCAUUCUGUACUUUAGACUUUUAGUAGUCUAGUAUGAAGUAGGCCACAGUGUAGAAGAGUCUAAAAUUUUUGCCCCACCUUCUAUAAGUAAGUUGAUCCACAUAUGUGUGAGAAGAAAAUGUUAAAAUGACUAUUCAUGUAUUUAUAAUUUCAUCAUUCUUAAUUUAUAUUUUUAAAAAAUCAUCAUAUAAAAUAAUUAAUAAAAUAUAUCUACUAUGGUAGCAUGCUCAGAAUUUUAUUCUGAUAGGGAUAUAUGACCAAAAUAAUUUGAAAGCCUCUGCUAAUGAACAUGGAUAUCAUUGAGGACUCCUACUCAGAUCUGAUUUGUGAAUUGGAUGAAUUACUUUGGCAUAUGGUACAGGUUGAGAUAGAGAUGAGCUUAGUCAUUAAGAAUUUAGCUUUCACAGUCUUCUGGUCUUGAUUCAAAAUCUGAGGCUAUCAUUCACUAGCUUUGUGAACUUGAGAAAUUUGCUUAACCUUUCUGAAUUUUAAUGCCCUCUCUAUAAAAUCAGGUCUGACCCCUCUCAAGGUUUUAUGGGAUUACCAUGUAGAAAGAACCUAGAACAAUACCUGUUAUGGGUAGACACCUAGGAAAGGGAUGUUGUUACCAUUUCUAAUAACACAGUCAUCAUUUUUGUACAUUCUUCUUUCUUUUUCUUCUUCCUUUUUUCCUUUCCCCUUUGUUGUUCUUUGUCCUUCUCCUUCUCUCUUCUUCUAUGUGUCUUCCAUCUUCAGCAGGAGAUUAUGAAGACAUGGGCUAAGGCAGUAGAAAUGGGAACUGAGAAAAGGAAACAUUGCCAGAGAUGUUAAGGGGGAAAAAACUGUAGAAGCAAAAGUGUAGACGAAAGUUAUCCAUACUUCCAGCUUAUGUGACUAAGUAGAUGUUAGUGUUGCCUUUCUCAAAGUCAGGGAAUGUAGAUGGAAGGACCAGGUUUUGAGUGAAAGCAUUUGAAUUUAGUUUUGACUAUGUUAUAUCUUGAAGUACUUUGAGACAUCAAGGAACAGGUAUCCAGUAAGACAUUAAAUACAAGGAACCAGAUCUUAAGAGAAAGUUAAGGGCAAUAAUAAGCUGAGGAACUGCCGUUGUAUGAUGUCAUUGAUGGAGUGAUGUGGAUCACCAGGGAAAAUGUGUAAGACAGAUUUUUUACUUAGAUAUACACAAACAUAAUAUGCAUAGAGAAGUACAUGUUUUGUAAGGCUGUAGCUGAUAGGUCAUUGAAUUUUCCCAAACUGAAUAUACUCCCAUAACCUAGCACCCAGAUCAUGACAGAACAUUUCCUGUACCCUAAUGUCCCUCAUAUGACUGAGGUUCCUCACUGUGUAUCCAGAGUGGCAUUGGUAGUUCUCUGAACCUCCCAAAAAUUGUAUGCAGAAUUUGUAUAUUUGUACUUUCUUCCUUUUUCUUUUUCCUAUUGAAAAGGUCUAUAGUGUUCAUUAAAUCUUUUUAAAAGGGUGUUCAUAUUCCAGAAAGGACAAAAUCCACUUGUUGAGUUAGAGAUUUUUCUUUUCUUAACUCACUCUACCUUAGAAGAUCUUUCUAAGAUUAAUAUAUCCUUUAGUUAGAUAAAGAAAUACAAAAAGGGAUAUUCAUUUACUGGUCUUUGCAAGGUAUUGAUUAUAUACUUAUACUACUAGCAAUUGCCAAUCUUUGUUAAAACUGCUUCUUUGGAGUUUUUAUGAGUUCUUUGACUAACCUUUUAAAUUAGCAAAUCUUAAUACCUUUUGCUUAUUUUUGUGUAAACUAUAUUAUAAUGUAAUACUUGCUUCUAAUAUGCUGUUUUUAAAUUUCCAAAUUGUAUCACCAUAAAUUUAUCACGGAUUUAUUUUUAAAAUUUCUCACAUACCUUAUAAAUUGUUUUUUAAUAGAUGAAAGUUAUUCCUUCAGCAGUAUGCUAUAUUAUGGAAAUGAAGCCACUCUUCUUAUUUUUGAUCUGUUGUUCUUCUGUGUUGUGGAUUUGGCUUGCCAAAAUUUCAUUUUAGCAGCCUUCCUUACAUACCUACAACAAGAGGUAAAUUUUACAAUUUUUUCUGGAUUUCUUUUAAAAGAAAUAAAUUGGAAGUAGGUAUUUAUUUGCAUUGCAGAGAGUAAGACAUCUAUAAAGAAUAUAAUUCUUACCAAUUCUUUAGAAUAUGAUUAACCUUACCAAAAGAAGGGCUACAGCUGACCACAUUCUGCACCAUGUCCUUAGGAUCAGUGAACUACUAGGUUCUAGUGGAAGGCAUAAGUUGCUUCAGAAGGUGUGAAAGAAAUCUGGUAGAAAGAUACUUAAUUGCCGGACUCCUAGAUACCAAAAGUUAACAGUAAUUUAAAAGAGAGUCCCAUUCAUAACAAAAAGAAAAGCAAGCAAUGGAUAUCUAGCUCAGGAACUCCCUACUGAAAAGCUCCUUUACCUUGUUGUGGAUAAUAAAUAACUAUGUAGGUAAAAUCUCUGAAAUCGAGAUUUUAAGAAAUGGUAAAUCUGUGCUUCUGGAAAUAUUGUUAGUAAAAUCACUCAAGUAUUUUCCACUGUAUGAAGGAUGUUUAUGAGUGAUAAGAUGUAAUUUAUUAGUCCUUGUUAGAGAUCUAAAAUUCUGAAAAAAAUUCUGUUCAUACUAAAUAGAUUAUUUUGAUAUUUCUAUGGCUAUUAGAGUUAGAAAAAAGUUGACUCUCCAAAAUUUAACAGUAUAUUCCCGUGAACAUGAGAGAUUUACAUUAAUUCAUAAACAUAUCAUCUAAAUAGGAACAUGAACAGCUUCAGUAUUAUGAAGGAUGAUAAUAGCUUUGAAAUAAUUUUGUGUAUCACCAUACAACUCAGAAGUCUAAUAUAUGAAAUUAAUUGAAAGAAUUAGCUAAUCCAAUUCAGAUGUUUUAUUUGAUGUGCAUAUUUAAUUUUCUUGAUAAAUAUUUCAUUCUCAAUUGUUUUAAUGUUGCAGAUUUUUAGAUUUAUUCGUAAUACAGUAGGACAGAAGAAUUUGGCAACCAAAACAUUGGUGGAUCAAAGAUUUCUGAUUUAACUUAUUGAUCAUAUAAGGACUCAAUAUAAUCAUGGCAAAGAAGUCAUGAUAUCAGGUUAGUCUGGCAUAUUUUUUAAAAUCUAUAUUACAUAUUAUUCUGGUUUUAAUUAUUUUUUAUCUAUAGAUUUAUUUUUAUAACUUGUCUAUGAUCAAUAUAAUGGAAAGUAUUAUUUCCCAUUAUGUGUGGUAUUUAAUUCACUAAAUAACACUGAAAGGCUAAAAAUCUAAAUGUUGCUUUCAGAAAAACAAUUCUUAACAGUAAUCAAAAUAAUUCAUAUCAUUUGUACUAAAGAUCAUUUUAUAAAUUGCUUUACCUACAUUUUCUUACAUUGACAAAAUUAUUUGACUCCAAGUUCAAGACUAAUUUUCAGUUUAAUAUUUAUGUUUUAUUUGCACUUAUGGUUAAAUAAAUGUUGAAAGAUAUUUUCAAGUUCAUUUAGAAAUUGCAAAUUGUAUUAUUUUUGAUUCACUUUGCCUCAUUCUAAUUGUUCACCUAUGCCUGUGUACAAUACUCUUUUCAUGAAUUGUGUUGAUAUCUCUAAUGUGGUUUACAUUUAUUGUUAUAAUAUCUGGCAUAUUUCCCAAUAUGUUUUUUAUACAUUUUCAAUUAGUUUUUAAGAAUACUUCUGCAUUUUGUCUUUUUAAUUUUGUUAAAGAUAAUAAAUAACAGACUGUAAGUUGAUCAUAUUAUGUUGCCAAAGAGAUUUAUUAAAAGCAAAUUUAUGCUUCAUAAGUCAGUAAACUUUUAAGAAGAAAAAAUAAACUAGGAUUCAAAAUAUAAAUAAAAUAAGUUCUGAAACAUAUAGCUGAUAAUUUUCCAUAUUUUCCCUCAACAUACCCUUUAAUAAUUCUUCUCAUGGUAUACCCAUGUACUUGAAAGGUCUUCAUGGUCAAGUAUAAUAGUCAUUAACCCCUAAACCAACAUUUUUUACUGCUAACUAUGAUGCUAUGUAAAUAUGUAAAUAUAAUUCUAUGUAAAUAUUAUUAAUGUUUCUGAAUUGAAAUAUGUAAUAAAACAUUUUGUGUUACUGUUGGAUUAAUUUAUGUUCUGUGAAUUAGCAUUCAGGAAUAUAGCACUAUUGGGGCAGGAUUCCCAGCCACUGCCAAAGGUGAAUCUUUCACUUUUCCCUGAAUCUCAAGGAUCACUGAGAAAAAGAAGGAGAGCUAGUAAAUUGAGUCUUUGAAAUUCAAGUCUAACAGUACAGGAAUGUCUUUAUAAAAGCUUCAGAGAUAAAUAAAU
rnacentral:lncRNA from 1 species